GAUGAACGCUGGCGGCGUGCCUAAUACAUGCAAGUCGAGCGAACAGACGAGGAGCUUGCUCCUCUGACGUUAGCGGCGGACGGGUGAGUAACACGUGGAUAACCUACCUAUAAGACUGGGAUAACUUCGGGAAACCGGAGCUAAUACCGGAUAAUAUAUUGAACCGCAUGGUUCAAUAGUGAAAGACGGUUUUGCUGUCACUUAUAGAUGGAUCCGCGCCGCAUUAGCUAGUUGGUAAGGUAACGGCUUACCAAGGCAACGAUGCGUAGCCGACCUGAGAGGGUGAUCGGCCACACUGGAACUGAGACACGGUCCAGACUCCUAAGGGAGGCAGCAGUAGGGAAUCUUCCGUAAUGGGCGAAAGCCUGACGGAGCAACGCCGCGUGAGUGAUGAAGGUCUUCGGAUCGUAAAACUCUGUUAUUAGGGAAGAACAAAUGUGUAAGUAACUAUGCACGUCUUGACGGUACCUAAUCAGAAAGCCACGGCUAACUACGUG
rnacentral:rRNA from 1 species